GAGAACGGGCUCAACUACAUCGACCUGGACUUAGUGAAGGAUUUUAAUCACCGUCGCCAACCCGCCCACCACCCCCAAGAGGGCACCUCUGUGCCGGCGGGGCGGCAACCGCCGCCCAAAGCCCCUAAUCAGCCUUGUGGGAGUAGCCACUCGAGCGACGAUUUGAGCGCAUAUGCCAGCAUCAGUUUCCAGAGGCGGGAGGACGUCUAAGAACUGGGCAAGAGCCAGAGAGAAGAAAGAUGACCUAUACAACCUCAGCAAAUCCUUCUUUUAACUCAUGGGUAUCCAGACUAUAAAUGUUACAUGAAUCACAACUAGGACCUCACAUCCUCCUCCUCGUCCAUAGAUGGGUACGAUGCAUCCAGUUCAGUUUGUUUACUUUACACAAACCUCAGGAGUUAGUUGACUGAACUGCACAUUCUAUGUUGUGCCAAGCAAAAGCACUGUGACACCUGGACAAUGAGUCUCUAUUACUUCAUCCUCUACCAUAAGGACUUAGCUGGACACAGUGAACUGAUGUGCCCACCACUGUCAUGGUGAGAAUGGGUAUUGUACUAGCACAUUUACAUAAUACAUUUCAUUUGCUGCUGAAAACCUGUAUGACAAAUCAUCAUUGUAAAUUAUUACAUACAAAACUGUUAAUGUUGGUUGAAGAGUAUUAAAUAUUUAACAUAGGUUUUGAUUUAUACACGUACUUUUUUAAUUAAAAAUAACUUUUUCCUACAGCACAUCUUUUUUGAUGUGGAACUGAGGUAUACUAUAUUCUGUUGUAAACAGAGUGGGGAACCUGCUUAAAACAAGGCUAAUAAGAAUAGAGUAGGGUACUAUUCUUGUUUUAAGAUUGUAAUUCAGAAAAUAAUAUAAUAUGAAUCAUUGGCCCAAGGGCCUUGAUUGUACAGUCAUAUUAUUUACUGAUCCUAUCAGUUGUAAAAUAACCCUGAUGUUGAGCUAAAUUGUUUCCAAGAGAAAAAUAAUAAUUUUGUACUCCUUGUAAAAUAGUCUAUUAACGCAAAUGAAGAUAAAAUUACUGUACAUGGUAUUUACAAGUGUCAACCUGAGCUCAUCUAUUGCACAGAAACUUACAAAAAGCAGAAAAAAUAAAUCAAAAGUCUUCCAUUGUAUAUAUUGUUAGGAGAAAAAAGGAAAAAAAUAGACCCCAGAAACAUGGGUGAAGUCUUCAAAUCAAAAUUCUUCCUGGAAUGAAAAAUGUGGGUGUUUGUAAAUUCUGGAAAUCUUUCUAUAUGUAAUAAACUAGAUACUGUUUUAUCUGCU